AGUGAACGCUGGCGGUAGGCCUAACACAUGCGAGUCGAACGGCAGCACAGUAAGAGCUUGCUCUUACGGGUGGCGAGUGGCGGACGGGUGAGGAAUACAUCGGAAUCUACUUUUUCGUGGGGGAUAACGUAGGGAAACUUACGCUAAUACCGCAUACGACCUACGGGUGAAAGCAGGGGAUCUUCGGACCUUGCGCGAUUGAAUGAGCCGAUGUCGGAUUAGCUAGUUGGCGGGGUAAAGGCCCACCAAGGCGACGAUCCGUAGCUGGUCUGAGAGGAUGAUCAGCCACACUGGAACUGAGACACGGUCCAGACUCCUACGGGAGGCAGCAGUGGGGAAUAUUGGACAAUGGGCGCAAGCCUGAUCCAGCCAUACCGCGUGGGUGAAGAAGGCCUUCGGGUUGUAAAGCCCUUUUGUUGGGAAAGAAAAGCAGCGGGUUAAUACCCCGCUGUUCUGACGGUACCCAAAGAAUAAGCACCGGCUAACUUCGUG
rnacentral:rRNA from 1 species